UGGGGAAUUUUGCACAAUGGGCGCAAGCCUGAUGCAGCGACGCCGCGUGAGGGGUGAAGGCCUUCGGGUUGUAAACCUUUUUCGCUCAUGGUCAAGCCGCAGCUUUGGGUUGUGGUGAGGGUAGUGGGUAAAGAAGCGCCGGCUAACUACGUGCCAGCAGCCGCGGUAAUACGUAGGGCGCGAGCGUUGUCCGGAAUUAUUGGGCGUAAAGGGCUUGUAGGCGGUUGGCCGCGUCUGCCGUGAAAUCCUCUGGCUUAACUGGGGGCGUGCGGUGGGUACGGGUUGACUUGAGUGCGGUAGGGGAGACUGGAAUUCCUGGUGUAGCGGUGGAAUGCGCAGAUAUCAGGAGGAACACCGGUGGCGAAGGCGGGUCUCUGGGCCGUUACUGACGCUGAGGAGCGAAAGCGUGGGGAGCGAACAGG
rnacentral:rRNA from 1 species